rnacentral:rRNA from 1 species
GAUGAACGCUGGCGGCGUGCUUAACACAUGCAAGUCGAACGGUGAAGGCGGAGCUUGCUCUGCUGGAUCAGUGGCGAACGGGUGAGUAACACGUGAGCAAUCUGCCCCUGACUCUGGGAUAAGCGCUGGAAACGGCGUCUAAUACUGGAUACGAGCUGCGAAGGCAUCUUCAGCAGCUGGAAAGAAUUUCGGUCAGGGAUGAGCGCGCGGCCUAUCAGCUUGUUGGUGAGGUAAUGGCUCACCAAGGCGUCGACGGGUAGCCGGCCUGAGAGGGUGACCGGCCACACUGGGACUGAGACACGGCCCAGACUCCUACGGGAGGCAGCAGUGGGGAAUAUUGCACAAUGGGCGAAAGCCUGAUGCAGCAACGCCGCGUGAGGGACGACGGCCUUCGGGUUGUAAACCUCUUUUAGCAGGGAAGAAGCGAAAGUGACGGUACCUGCAGAAAAAGCGCCGGCUAACUACGUG